ACAGCCAUAUCUCGUUGAAACACCAGUUUUCGUCGGAUCACCGAAGUUAAGCAACGUUGAUUUUGGUCAGUACCUAGAUGGGUGGCCGUUUCAGAAUACAAGUUGCUGUAA